rnacentral:rRNA from 1 species
UACGUAGGGUGCGAGCGUUGUCCGGAAUUAUUGGGCGUAAAGGGCUCGUAGGCGGUCUGUCACGUCGGGAGUGAAAACUCAGGGCUUAACCCUGAGCCUGCUUCCGAUACGGGCAGACUAGAGGUAUGCAGGGGAGAACGGAAUUCCUGGUGUAGCGGUGAAAUGCGCAGAUAUCAGGAGGAACACCGGUGGCGAAAGCGGCUCUCUGGGACGGUACUGACGCUGAGACGCGAAAGCGUGGGGAGCGAACAGG